rfam:Schistosoma mansoni, Puerto Rico, WGS project CABG01000000 data, contig: 0203
UCACUGCUGAAGAGUCCCACAAUAGAACGAAACGGUCGUCCAGUGC